rnacentral:rRNA from 1 species
GACGAACGCUGGCGGCGCGCUUAACACAUGCAAGUCGAACGGUAAGGCCUGCUUUCCCUUGUGGAUUGCGGGUACUCGAGUGGCGAACGGGUGAGUAACACGUGAGUGAUCUGCCCCCAACUUGGGUAUAAGCCUGGGAAACUGGGCCUAAUUCCCGAUAGGACUGCAGGGUGGUGCCUGUGGUGGAAAACGAUUUUCUAGUGGUUGGGGAUGAGCUCGCGGCCUAUCAGCUUGUUGGUGGGGUAAUGGCCUACCAAGGCGGCGACGGGUAGCCGGCCUGAGAGGGUGGACGGCCACAUUGGGACUGAGAUACGGCCCAGACUCCUACGGGAGGCAGCAGUGGGGAAUAUUGCACAAUGGGCGGAAGCCUGAUGCAGCGACGCCGCGUGGGGGAUGACGGCCUUCGGGUUGUAAACUCCUUUCGACCGCGAGGAAGCCACCUGGUUGGAAGGGUGGUGACGGUAGUGGUAGAAGAAGCACCGGCUAACUACGUG